CCGGUGUUCAUAUUGGCUAAGAAUGUCAGGUGGUUGCCCACUAGAUGUAUUCGAACAGUUAAGGUUUAUUAGAGAAACCACCUAGUAACGAAUUCUACUUGGGUGAACGAGAGAGACAUACGAGCCUAAUAUCCUCACUUGAUCGAAACUUUAAGUACAUCAUAACCCUUUACAUUUGUGAAUGAAAGUUUUUGUAGUAGUGGAUAUUCUAAUGCCCCCCCA
rnacentral:lncRNA from 1 species